UUUUGAUUUUUUUGAAAUAUUUUGCUGUUUCCAUGGCAACGGCGGCCAUUUUGAAAAUUCCAAACUCAAAAGUCAAGUCUACAUACGUUAGGCAACAUUUGUUAUAAGUUUCAUUAAAUUUGAAGCAUUUUGAAUUUUUAGAUAUUUUUGCUGUUUCCAUGGUAACGGCGGCCAUUUUGAAAAUUUCAAACUCAAAUGUCAAUUCUACACAAGUUAGUCAACAUUAG
rnacentral:lncRNA from 1 species